AUUUUAACAACGGGUAUCGGUUUUGGCCUACGUGGCUGCUAGCUUACUUAUGUGGAUCUGCUUCCUCACUUUCCAACUUUGCCAUGUCAUCUUACAUAAAACGCCACACUUACUAACCAAACGACAUCACCAAAAAUAUAGGCAACCCCCAAAUCAAUUGAAAUCACAAAACCAAAUCCCUAAACCUGUCGUAGCAGCAGCCCUAAAAAUCAAACUCCUACUACCUUCAAAUUUGCUGAGUUGAAGACAUCAUGGACCGAUUCAAACCCAGGAAGGCGAUUUUAUGGCUGUUAUAAUCAUAAGAGGGGUGCAUGAUGCAAUUGUUCUCAAUGGUAUGAUCCCGCAGUAUCGAACAGAUUGUGAUUGUCGGGUUGUUGCGGAAACGGGACAUAAAUGAAAGACGAAAAUGGAAGAGCAGACUCAUAUUCUGUUCAUAAACUUCGUCUGUGUAAUGUGCUUUUGUUCCAAUCUGAAGGAAACAAAUACUGAGACUUUUUUUCAGCCUUCUCAGCAGUUAAUCAGAAACCUAACAACCAGUUGUUGAUUAUCAAAGUGUUGCUGUAGCUGGAGUUCUGUUCAUGGUUAAGAAAGAGCUUGUCAGGAGUAUUUGUCGAUUAUCAAUUUUAGCACCAUUGAACUGCAACCUCUUAAUUCCAACUUCACUAUGGCUCUCAGCUGGCAAUCGAUUAAGAAAAUGUUAAUCAGGAAGAAACUUAGAAACUAGAGUCAAGACGGAGCUCUCUGAUCAGCUAAAUCUAUAACUCGGAAACAUGUAGAGGGUUGAAUUCCCAGAUAUGAUACCGUUUAAGAUGACUCUGUUGUAAGUUGUUAAUAGAAUCAGAAAAUAGGACAAGAAGAAUGAGCAAACAGGUUGACUCACCGAGCUAUUUGCUGAUUCUUAGAGCCUUAGAAUCUUUGGUUAUGGAAUUCUCGAUUACUGUACUAUCUCCUUUAUAAUCUAGAGCUUCCAAAGAAUUCCAUGUCUAAUGGACUGUGAGAUCGCACAAAUCUUACAAGUAAUCCAAGAGCAGAUGGUUUUACUAUCUCAAGAUGCCACAAUCAAACUUCCAGGGUCAUUUGACAGGGCACUGCCACAUGCAAAUAAAGGUGAUCAUUAUAACCAUCUGCUACACUUGUAUAUUGUGGCAUUUUUUUUUGAGUGAACCGUCUCUUGUUGAAUUUUAACUCAAAAACCAGCGAAUUCAAAAAACAUGGCGUCUCUGAUGGGGAGAUACCAGUAAUAGCUAAUGUCUGUCCGGAGAGCGCAGAUGAAGAUUCUGCACUUGUCCGAUCAUUGAAGAUUGCGAGUGGUUCCAUUGUUUGAAACUGUGAAAGAUAUGCGAGGGGUUGGUUCAAUGACUAGAAAAACGUCAUCACGUUGGCGGUUGGUACAUCAUCGAUGGCUCCCGUGUAUUAGUAGUUUUUUUUUAAUCUUUGACAGUGUUCCCAUGUAUUAGUUGUUGGCUUUUUGUAUGUUUCAAUCAAUACUUACAAUGUGUUUAUGUAUUUAUAAACAAUACUCCCUCCAUCCAUUUUUAGUUGCCACUUUAGACUAAUAUAUUUAUCCAUUAAUAGUUGUCACUUUA